GACACAGAAAGGGUCGCGAGCGCGC
rnacentral:piRNA from 1 species